GGCGGGUGACAGAUGUGCAAGAAGGGUUGGGACAUUUCUCUCUGUAGAACAGAAGUGCCCACACUGUUAGUUCUACAGAAAAUGGAAUAGUCAGCCUCUUCUUCAGGUAAGCACUCCUGUUGGGAAAAUCCAACUGUCAGCUGCAGUGUAUGCCACUGGUGCAUCUUUCUUCAAACUGGAGAAGGUUAAUGGAACAUGGAAUAUUAUCAUCUGAAUUUUCUGGAGUGAAAUGAUAUAUAUGUGUUCAUUUGUAUCUACACACAAUCCCAAAAGCAGUACUAAAGAAAAGAGUCCUGUGUCUUUUUUGACCUCAGGUAUUCCGGCAAUGCAGUUGAGGAUGUUUCAGUAUGACACAUUCCGGCACGCCCGGAUGUACAUAGAGCCUGCAAUCGUGCACAGCGCAGGAUGGCAUGUUGGACCAGUUAUGCCAGCGACAGAAAGUAGUCCUAGGUGGUGACUUGAGGGCUGACUCACCAGGGCGACUGUGGGGACGGCAAAGCGGCACAAUGUGGAGAGACGCUACACAAAAAAGCUGGCAAAGAACUCCCAAAAAGCACCCGAAGCCUCGUUUAGAGCUGCACAUCUCCUGAUAAAGAAGAAGGCCUUUUCAGACAGUGAAGUUUUCAAAGAAGCAAUGAUGAUUAUUGCCAACACCGAACUUAAAGACGAGCUGGACCGGGAUCUGGCGCGGUGCAGCUGGUUUAGCGUACAGUGCGACGAGUCCGUGGAAAACAGCAGUACAGCGCAGCUGUCAGUCUUUAUCCGGAUGGUGUUUGAAGAUUUCUCCACUAAAGAAGAACUCCUGGCACUCCUGCCCUUCAAGACAACUACGAGGGGAGUUGACGUUUACAACGCGGUGAAGGAGUUUUUCGUACAGAAAAAGGUACCACUGGAAAAGCUGGUAGCGGUGGCUACAGACGGAGCUCCUGCUAUGAUCGGCCGACAUGCAGGUUUCAUCGCGCACUGUAAAGGUGACCCAGACUUCCCAAAACGUCUGCAUUACCACUGCAUCAUCCACCAGCAGGCGUGUGCAAAAGUGAUCGGCUUGGAGCACGUGAUGACUCCCGUUGCUCCAAAGCAAAAUAUUCAAAGCACCGGAUAUUCAAGGUGCUGUUGGAGAUGUCAGCAGAAUAUGGGGACCUGUUGCUACACACAGAAAUCCGAUGGCUGAGCAAAGGACGAGUUUUGCUUCGGUUUCUGUCACUUUUGGGUGAAAUCAAGGAGUUCAAGCAGUCAAAAGGGGAAGACGUCUCGCUGCUAGAGGACACAGAGUGGACACUUGACCUUGCAUUUCUAACGGACAUCACUGGGAAACUAAACCACUUGAACUGCGAGCUGCAAAGCAAAGGUAAGACUGUUGUUGACAUGAUAAGCGCUUUAAAUGCAUUUAAAGCCAAGAUGAACAUUUUCUCUGUGCAUUUACAGAGAAAAAAAAUGCUGCACUUUUCCUCUGUGCGAUCGGUGCUGAAAGACAAUGCUACUGCAUCUGAGGAAAUGGACAAAGUAGCAGAAAAGUACUGUCAAGUCAUAAACAGACUUGGACAAGAGUUUGAGGAUAGGUUUUGUGACCUUGAUCAGCUUGAGCCAUGUGUCUCAUUCAUCUCCAAUCCUUUCAUGAACAAGGACAUAACUUACAUUGCUGAGCAACUAAGUGCAACGUUCAACUUGGAUGCUGCACAGGUGGAGAUUGAAAUUGUAACAUUGCAAAAUGACUGCACCAAACUUUUGGAGCCUUGUUGACACAGAAAAGUACAGUGGUGUAAGCACAGCAGCUAUGAAGGUUGCCAGCCUGUUUGGUUCAACCUAUCUCUGUGAAUCAGCAUUUUCUGACAUGAACGUCAUCAAGAACAAACACAGAACCCGCCUCACUGAUGCACACCUACAAGACUCACUCAGAGUUGCAGUGUCAAGUUACACACCAGACUACAAUACACUGGUGAACAGCAUUCAAUGCCAGUCUUCCCACUAACAAAGAAACAGAUACCAGAUGUCAGUUGCAAAGCUGAAUCAAAAAUAGGAUACAUUGUGUUCAAUUUAUUAGGGACUUUGUCAUUAGUUCAAAAUGUGAUUAUGUAUUGCACCUUGUUUGAAAAAGUUAUCAAUUAUGUAAUGUUUAAUUAAAAUACAUCUAGUUAAUAAUUUGUUAAAAGGGUUUGUCACUGGCAAGGGAAAUAAAAAGAGAUUUCACAUGAAA